CGUAAUCCAAAUUUAAGCAGUAGAUCUCAAUUUAAUAAUUCGUCACAUAGCAGCAAACCACCGAUAUCGUAACAGGCAUAUCGGUGGCUUUCAAUACUAGACACAGUAAUUUAUUCAUACAGAUAGUACAGUACAGUAGUAGGAUUUAAUUUUAUGCACCAGAGUGUUUUGCAAAACUCCUCCUACCAUGACAUCGUUACUCCGACUGCAAUUCCUUCAGAAAAUCUUCAUUGUCAACCAGGACCUACAAAUCGACACAAAAAAACCAUAUAACAUGAGCGACCCUUGCUUAGAAUGUUAAUACAAAAAAUGAAAAUACAUUCAUUUUUUACGCAUUAAGUGCCGCAAAUGAGAAAAAUGAUCAAUUAAAAGAUAUCUGAAAAAAUUACCGUUUUCCAGCCAUCUGGGUCUACGAAAGAGGUGAUUUUGGUGUUGAGUCCAGGGAUUGGUCCGGGUUGUCGAGUUAUCUUCCCUCCAAGCUCUUGGGUAACCAGGUUGACAACCUCAGCACUUUUGUAUACAUCAUCAGUACUAAUAGCAACCUACAAAUGAUACCACAAUCAUGAAAAAUAAGUGUGUUCUCAAAUGAAGAAAUAGUCACUGGUGCUUCCACUUGGACUUAUCUUUACCUGAGCAUAUGCAUUUCCCUUGGUAUAUUCAGUCACACCAUAACUAUAAGCUAACUCCAGAACAGUAGUCUGAUCUUCCUCAGCAUAUCCAAGCAUGGCCAGGGCGCACUGUGAUAUAAAUGAAACCACCAAGAAAGAUAGGAAAUACAUUACUAAUAUGGGUCAUCCUAAUUAAAGUGAAUAAAAUCUUCAAAAGAAGAGGCAGUUCACCUUCAAUUCAGGACUAUCAAUUGUCCUUAACAGUUUCAUCCCCAAAGCCUGCAGAGACCCAACUAACACAACAUCAUUUAACGGCAGAUCCUUUGGAUUAAAAAGCAAACUAUAAGCAGAUUUGAUAACUAAUAGAGGUGAUCCACCGUUGGACAAUAACGAAAAAAGUGCUGGCAUAAUGCAAGAUGAUCCAUAACAGCUUUAGCGAUGAAAAUGAACCACUGGAUUCACAGUUAAACAUACCCAUUGCAACAGGUUUAGCAAGAAAUGGGAAUAAGAGAUCCAGUUACACAUACAGUAUCCAAGCAGAAGAUAGACCUUUUGUCAUACUACCUUUUCAUAGAACUUGAUGGAGCGACCAAGAUCGCCAACGCGAAGCAUUACUUGACAGAGUGGUUCAGGAGUUGGACCUCUCUGGAUGAGUUCAAAAAUAUAACCAUCGGGAUCCUUCACAAAGGCAAAGUGAGUUGUCAUACCUUUAAGUGGACCAGGCUCUCUAGUGACAUUGCCACCCUUGGCACGAAUGUUUUCAACCAUUUUGUAAACCUUAAAAUUCCAUGGUUUGCUAGUUCAAUUUCAGUGCUUAGAUAAAAACAAGUGCUCAAAAUCAGUAAAUAUUUUACAACACUUACAUCUUCAGUUGCAAUUGCAAGAUGGCCAAAACCAGUUCCAAUAUCAUAUGAAGUUACACCAUAGUCUGUGAAUCAAUAGCAAAGUAAACUCUCAGAAAUAGAUAGAAAAAAAUAGAACCCCAUUCAUAAUCAUUUCCCAAGAAGUACAAUUAUAAUGCAAUUUUCUAGAAGUAGUAACUCUUAUGUUUAGACAAAGAAAAAGUAAGAGCACCAUACUGUAUGUUAACUCCACAACAAAGUAAGACUGUUCGGGGCCAAAUCCAAGAAAGGCAUUUGAGUAUUUCUCUUCUGGGACGUCUCUCUUUCUCAACAGCUCCAUCCCAAAGCAUUCAGUGUAAUAUCUGAAGACAAAAGUACAGAAGAAUAUGAGGACAUCCAAGCACCCAAAAUAAUCAACUACAUCAGGAGCAGUUAAUGUGUUAAAGACAUACUUGAUGGUGCGAUCAAGAUCACCAACACGAUACACAGCAUGAAGGAAGCGUCGCUUAUCUUUCUUUGGCCAUUCCAGCAACUCGGCAUUAGCAACAGCAGGAGAAGCCUCAGCCAUUUUGAUAUGGAAUCACUCUGUUUCCAUUCACAACAAUGUAAAUAUGAAUAAUAAGACAAAUACAAAUCAUCAGUCUAAUAAAAAAAUAAUCGUACUAUUCUCUUUAGAAAUGUAUACAGCAACACACAAGCAUUCAUUUCAUGACACAAUUACGGAUGUGUAGACUUGAGAUAACAGUAACCCAAACUUCUUGAUCCGAUAGAAUAGAAACGUAUCAAAUAAAAGUCUCCAGCAUAAUUCAGUAACGUAACGUAAGCCUCAGCCUCGGUCAUAGCAAAAAUGAACAUAAAAACUAACAAGAAGACACAAAUAUCAGUCGCAUUGGAGCCGAUCCUAGUUUAUGAAAGGUCGGAAAUCAAAAGGACCAUAACAAGAGGAAGAAAAGAGAGCUUACCAGAAAGUCGGAGUGAAGCCGCAAGUGUGAGAAAUGAUCUAGAAGAUGAUCUAUUUUCCAGACUUAGCUAUGGUGCAACUGUAGUAUCAUACUAUAGUAAUACUUAAUCAUUAAAUGCAAAUACUUAAUUAUUGCUUCUCUCACUAUAACUAAAUUCAAUGAUUAAGUGCAGCUAUACACAAUUAUACCAACCCUCUAUUUACUGAACUUACAUUAUCUUGUUCUUUAAAUUAUCUUGUUUCUAUCCUCCGAAAAAAAAAAUUUAUCCUGUUUCCAUGGAUUCCUCUAGAGUCAUUGGCUGUUACUGGAGGAUGACUGAUGAAAUCAGAUCAACGAUUGAGAUUUGCCUGUGCGGCUUCGUUGGGUUUAGUUGUUUGGAUUUUGGAAUAUCAAGCCGGCGAUUUGACCUACGGUCGGACCCGUGUAUGAUUCAAGGCUGUGCCUGUGAUUAAGCCGCGAACUAUAAUCACGUGGCAUUAUUAUAUUAAACAUGUGAUUUCAUAUCUUAUUAAAAUAAAUAAACACAUUAUUCAUUUCCAUUCUCAAUAACUAAACACUCUAUACAACUGAUUAUUUUCACAAUAAAACCGUCAACAAUUAUUUUAAAAAUCAUUGCAUUAUUUUUUUAACUCUUAUUCUUAAAAUAGUUAAGAGAUAAUUUCCCUAAAUAAAAUUCGGCUGGUGACACGGGAAAAGGGGCCACGAUUCCUCUUAUCCGUAAACAAAUGCAUGAAAAUGGAUACUACUUCUCAAUUAAAUUCAGUGAAGUUUUCAUUCGCAUUCGUUUCUCUUUGAAGUCGUCACAGUUUAGUCUCGAUUGGAGAUUGAUUGACGUGAAUUCUUCCAUCAAGCCUAACGCUAUGAAACAAGCUGCAAGGCCGACUCGACGGUCAAACUGAAGCCCUUUACAUACAAGAUCAGCCAGCCGUUCACUAAAUAAUUAUUUGUUAAAUGUCUAAAUUCCGAAAUUUUAUUAAUUUUAAUUUUUUAAAAAAAAUUAUUUGUUUAUUUUUUAAAACUUGUCUCAUUUUCAGAUAUUUACAUCCAAAAUAAAAAAAAUAAAAUUUUGUGACUUUUAUCUAAAUAAAAAAUAUUUAAAUAACAAAUAAAUAUUAUAUUCUAAAAAUAUCUAUGUAAAAUAACUUAUUUCUUAAACUAAAAAAAUAGAAUCCUCUUUUUUUUGUUUUAAUUUACAAAGACAUAAAUGUCAAACAAUCAAAUUUAAGAUGUUUUUUAUUGUAAAAACAAACAAAAUAUCACUUAUAUUCAGAUAUUUAAAAAAAAAAACAAACAUGUCAUUAAGAUUUUCGUAUUCAGACCCAUUCAGACUUUAGAAAAACUCACACUUAUUUAAAUUUCAGACAAAAAAACAAACGCUUGCAUAGCAACGUAAUCCAAAUUUAAGCAGUAGAUCUCAAUUUAAUAAUUCAUCACAUCACAUAGCAGCAAACCACCGAUAUCAUAACAGGCAUAUCGGUGGCUUUCAAUACCAGACACGGUAAUUUAUUCAUACAGAUAGUACAGUAGUAGGAUUUAUUUUUAUGCAAGUGUUUUGCAAAACUCCUCCUACCAUGACAUCAUUAUUCCGACUGAAUUUCCUUCAGAAAAUCUUCAU
rnacentral:lncRNA from 1 species